GACGAACGCUGGCGGCGUGCCUAAUACAUGCAAGUCGAGCGGACAGAAGGGAGCUUGCUCCCGGAAGUCAGCGGCGGACGGGUGAGUAACACGUGGGCAACCUACCCUGUAGAUCGGGAUAACAUAGAGAAAUCGGUGCUAAUACCGGAUAAUCAUUUGAAGUGCAUGCUUCGAAUGUAAAAGAUGGCUCCGGCUAUCACUACGGGAUGGGCCCGCGGCGCAUUAGCUAGUUGGUAAGGUAAUGGCUUACCAAGGCAACGAUGCGUAGCCGACCUGAGAGGGUGAUCGGCCACACUGGGACUGAGACACGGCCCAGACUCCUACGGGAGGCAGCAGUAGGGAAUCUUCCGCAAUGGACGAAAGUCUGACGGAGCAACGCCGCGUGAGUGAUGAAGGUUUUCGGAUCGUAAAGCUCUGUUGUUAGGGAAGAACAAGUGCCGUUUGAAUAAGGCGGCACCUUGACGGUACCUAACCAGAAAGCCACGGCUAACUACGUGCCAGCCGCCGCGGUAAAAC
rnacentral:rRNA from 1 species